CCAUCCCAGCACACGUGUACAACCUUGUUUUCCUUACAGAAUUUACAUCUCUUCUUUGAGAGGGUAAAUCCCCUUUUCUCUCCUCUGGCAGCUCUGAGAGGGGAAUGGGGAAGGGAGCGGCUUCACCAAAUCUUGAGGCCUGCCCAUGGAUCACCAAAGCAAAUCUGGGAAGGAGAUUCUUUUGGAGUCUAGAUCUGACCGAGUGCUCCAGCCGCACGCGGACUCUGCGGCGCCCAGCAGCGAGACCGCAUCUCGCCGUUGCUGAUCUGCAGAGGCAAAAGCGGUCACCGGGAGGCCACGGGAGAGUAUAAGAGAUUGCUCUCCUGUUCGUGGCGCUGGGACCAUGAGCUAUGUCGUCUGAUUGAACGACCAGCUUGUUCCUUGCCGUCCGUGGCAGAGAUGGUUUUGAUUAUUGUCUCUUGAACACAUCCGUAGCAAUUAUAUGAAGUUUUGUAUAUUAAAAGGGAGUCAAACGCGAAGGCAAGUUGUGGGCUUCCUAGUUGCUACUGCUUUUGGCUUCCACCUAUGUAAUGUGUGCUACAACUUUGCAUCAUUCCUACAUCCCUCCACAUCGGCUUAUUCUUCAUAGAUGAGAGGUUGUUGGGACCUCAGCAGGUCGGUCUUGACUUCAUUGGGCAUCGAGUUGCACGAUGAUGUCGCAACUUUGGAUGAAUAUCGAUGUUCGUAUGACAUCGUGUCCAGAAUCACAUGCUUCAAUUUGUAGCACCCUGACUAUGCUUAACGGCUUGGAUAAUUCCAGUGGAAUGGCUGUAGGGUUACCUCCUCCUCGUCGCCUCGGCCACCGUCACUUCUUUGGAGCUUGCAUCCACGCCCAUCAUGUGUUAGCUGUUCGGGGCCCUCUGUCAUAUUCGUAUAUGUGAUGUAGGUCAUUCUCUCUCCCUCGGCAAGCCUAGCUUUCUUUGCUACUGUUGGUCUCCAGCGGUGAGACUUCAUCCUUGAUCAGGUCAUCUUCCCAAGGAUUUAAGGAAAGCCUCUAUAUCAUAGACUAUAUUAACUGAGAUGAUUAGGUUCCUGUGCUAGGAGCCAAAGUGAUUGUUCCUCCACCGCCUACAUGUAAUCUGAUUGAGCGAUCAAUGAUAUUAAAACAAGUACUUACUUAUAAUGA